ACGAACGCUGGCGGCGUGCUUAACACAUGCAAGUCGAACGGAAAGGCCCUGCUUUUGUGGGGUGCUCGAGUGGCGAACGGGUGAGUAACACGUGAGUAACCUGCCCUUGACUUUGGGAUAACUUCAAGAAACUGGGGCUAAUACCGGAUAGGAGCUCCUGCUGCAUGGUGGGGGUUGGAAAGUUUCGGCGGUUGGGGAUGGACUCGCGGCUUAUCAGCUUGUUGGUGGGGUAGUGGCUUACCAAGGCUUUGACGGGUAGCCGGCCUGAGAGGGUGACCGGCCACAUUGGGACUGAGAUACGGCCCAGACUCCUACGGGAGGCAGCAGUGGGGAAUAUUGCACAAUGGGCGGAAGCCUGAUGCAGCAACGCCGCGUGCGGGAUGACGGCCUUCGGGUUGUAAACCGCUUUCGCCUGUGACGAAGCGUGAGUGACGGUAAUGGGUAAAGAAGCACCGGCUAACUACGUG
rnacentral:rRNA from 1 species